rnacentral:rRNA from 1 species
UACGUAGGGCGCAAGCGUUUGUCCGGAAUUAUUGGGCGUAAAGAGCUCGUAGGCGGCCUGUUGCGUCCGCUGUGAAAUCCCGGGGCUCAACCCCGGGCCUGCAGUGGAUACGGGCUGGCUAGAGGCAGGCAGGGGAGAACGGAAUUCCUGGUGUAGCGGUGAAAUGCGCAGAUAUCAGGAGGAACACCGAUGGCGAAGGCAGAUCUCUGGGCCGUAACUGACGCUGAGGAGCGAAAGCAUGGGGAGCGAACAGG